GCCCUUUUCUUGUUGCCCUGCUGAGCCAGCGAGGGGGCAGUGCAAUGUUAAAAGGGCAU
rnacentral:pre_miRNA from 1 species